UUAUAUCCUACUAUAUAAAAGAGACUAUUUUAAGAGUUUCUAAAGAAUGCCACAUGGGCAGAAAUAUUCUCCACCACUCAUUUUACCAUGUCAUCACGUCCAAACUUAAAACAUUUUAUUUUCUCUUUAGCCCAAUAAUAAAAUUCAAGACUAAAUUCAACGUGACACAUCAGUACUCAACUAAAACUCAUUCUCCGUAUAUUAUCUUCUCGGACUGGGCCUUUUGUUUUGGAAUGGCAAAGCUUAAUGUUUACAAAAUCCAACUUAACCCAAUAUUUUCCAAGCUCGCUCAGUCUAUUCUCAUGCUUCGUUUACCCUAUUCUUUUGACAUCUCUGUAAUCCUCUACAGCUUCAGAUUUCUGUAACGCUUUGCCUAGAUGACACUACGAUGAGUUAAAUUACACUACAAUGAGUUAAAUUACCUACCUCCUUCCCAAGAAUUCAGAUGAAAUCCCUAAAAAAAGAAAGAGAAAUAUAUCUCUACAGAUCACGCUGCUCCAACAGAAAUCUAAUUUUUUUUUUGUUCUUACAACUCGAUCUUCAACAAUGGUGGCUUACCAAACCUUUUUCUCUAAUGUUAAACCGGUCGUUGUUACAAUACCGCCGUGAGGCGUCUUCUGCGGUAUGGGAAGCCCGUAACAUCACCAAAGGAGGGGAACUGAUGGGCGUGGACAUGCUUCUUCUAGAUGAAAAGGAGAAUGUUUUCACACGUCUGCUUCGUUCCUCUUUCACACAUCACAAUGGUCACUCACCGUAGGUUGUGUGGCACUGACGUCAGUUGCUCCAUAUCCAGAAAAUAAAACAUCUGAUGGACUUUUGACGUUCCUAACGCCAUUGCACUGCAUACUGCUGAGUGGUGAUCAGAUUAUUUUUGUUCAUCGUAUUCCAGUAGAGAAGUGUGGUACAUGUAAAUUAGACAUGCUAUUAGCUACAAUGGUGACAAUAAGCUAAUGGCGGAUGUCAAACCACCUGAAAGAGACAAAAAGCUUGAAUAUUUUGGUCUGACAAUGGAUUUGAUCGGUGGGUUUGGCAAACGGCAUGAGUGUUUCUAUGGAAACUUUCUCAAAAAAAUCUUGCUUUGAAAGUUUCGAGAACCAAAAUCAAACCAAGCAUCAAAAGCUUAGCCUCUCUGAUGUAAGAUUCGUGCUAGGAUCAAUAACAUUAGCUUAACUGGCAGAUACCGAGACAUCAAAAGCAUUUGUUGCUGUAAAGCUGAGUAGUUCAGCUGAUCCCAAGACACCAAGUGAAUCACAUGAAAGCUAAGGAAAAUCAAUUUUGAUCACAUGUUUUGAUCAACUCUUAGCGUUGAUGUUAUUAGUAGUUGGUGAAUAGACCAAACGUGAGCGUAUCAGACAGUCAAUAAAAAGAGAAGGAGCCAAAAGGGAUGAUAAUAAAAUUAGGGAACAAAGUGUCGUUAAGUGAUAGUUCCGGUCUGUGGGAUUUUCUCAUUUUACGACUCAUCUGAUUCUCUUUGUUUUUUCCUUUCAAACUAAUCUAAUUUACAGUAACAUGUUUUUAUUUUAA